GUUUGAUUAUGGCUCAGAUUGAACGCUGGCGGCAGGCCUAACACAUGCAAGUCGAGCGGUAACAGGAAUUAGCUUGCUAAUUCGCUGACGAGCGGCGGACGGGUGAGUAAUGCCUGGGAAUAUGCCUUAGUGUGGGGGAUAACUAUUGGAAACGAUAGCUAAUACCGCAUAACGUCUUCGGACCAAAGAGGGGGACCUUCGGGCCUCUCGCGCUAAGAUUAGCCCAGGUGGGAUUAGCUAGUUGGUGAGGUAAAGGCUCACCAAGGCAACGAUCCCUAGCUGGUCUGAGAGGAUGAUCAGCCACACUGGAACUGAGACACGGUCCAGACUCCUACGGGAGGCAGCAGUGGGGAAUAUUGCACAAUGGGGGAAACCCUGAUGCAGCCAUGCCGCGUGUAUGAAGAAGGCCUUCGGGUUGUAAAGUACUUUCAGUCGUGAGGAAGAUUAUACAGUUAAUAGCUGUGUGAUUUGACGUUAGCGACAGAAGAAGCACCGGCUAACUCCGUGCCAGCAGCCGCGGUAAUACGGAGGGUGCGAGCGUUAAUCGGAAUUACUGGGCGUAAAGCGCAUGCAGGCGGUCUGUUAAGCAAGAUGUGAAAGCCCGGGGCUCAACCUCGGAACCGCAUUUUGAACUGGCAGACUAGAGUCUUGUAGAGGGGGGUAGAAUUUCAGGUGUAGCGGUGAAAUGCGUAGAGAUCUGAAGGAAUACCGGGUGGCGA
rnacentral:rRNA from 1 species